CCCCCUCCUGCCAAGUCUUUGGGGGACCUAAAGAUAGCAUAGGAUAGGAUGCAUUUGCUGCCUUGUAUAUUGCUUGAUGAUGAAGCUCUAGAAAAAGGAAGCAAUUAUUGUAGAUAAGUCUCCCAUUCCAGCAUGGCUCUGCAGCAGGAAUAGGAGGUCUAGGCAGAGAAAGCCUGAAGCAGUACCCAACAGGCCUGCAGUCCCAGGAGAUGCCAGAGAGCCAAACAUUUCCCAUUCCCCUGAGAUGAGUAUUUGUGUGGCCUUUUGGGUUUAUCACUUUUAUAACACAUAAAAUCCAUAACUGCUAUUAACAUAAAUGUUAAUCAUGCUGCAUUCUAAUUUUCCUUUCUCUUAUUUAGAUAUCAAAUGGCUUAUAAGCUUCUGGAAUCAACUGUGUGAUCUUCAAAACUGGCAACUUGAGAACAGAGCAGGAAGCCUGAAGUAGGAAGAGAGUGGGAUUCCAUAAGGAUUAGCCUUUGUCAUCUGAGCAAGGUGAAGGGACGAGGAGCAAGAGAACUGAGAGUGGACCCAAGGAAGUAAUUGAUUAACCACGAAACUAAACAAAGUGAGUAAGGUAAAGGAAGCAGGCCAUGAAAAUGGUACGGAUAGUAAAAGGGUGGUAGAGCCGAUGAGUGUUUCGGGUCCUGGAACAACGUUCAGAGUCAAGGCACUAGAGAGAAACAGUUAGAAAGAUAGGAAAUGGAGGUCAAAAAUAUAAAAUAAAAUGUUAAAAUAGAAGGGUAGAAUGGAUGGCUAAUUGUAGAAGGGAUGUGGCUAUUGGCAAGGACUAGGUCCAAAGUGGGCUACAGGAGAGAGAUGCUGAAGUAGGGUGGAGAGCAAGAUCAUUGCAGGGAAGGGGGCAAGAAACCAAGACCUCUUGGAGGAUCAUCUACUUACUGGAAUCACUAAUAAUUAGGUCAGGAGUAAUAAUGAAGAUGGUGAUUGUAAUUAAGCCUGGAGAUAAAGUCUUUAAGAAAUGAGAGUGGCAGUGACCAUGGGUUUUUAGAAGUGUGCAAACAGUAGAAGAAUGUGAGGUACAGUCUAAGGGCGUAACAUUUCAAACGGGGGUGGUGGGAUAAUGAUCUUUUAUCUAGGCAAUGAUAAUUGUCUUCUUAACAUGCAUUCUCUGGUAGAGUUUGGAUGUUUGUCCCCUCCAAAUCUUAUGUAGAAAUGUGAUCCCCAAAGUUGGAGGUAGGGCCUAGUGGGAGGUGUUUGGGUCAUGGGAGCAGAUCUUUCAUUAAUAGCUUGGUUCCCUCACUACAAUAAUGAAUUCACAAGAGAGCUGGUUGUUUAAAAGCGCCUGGUAUCUCUCUUGCCGUGUCUCUCACCAUGUGACAUCCCUGCUCUCCCUUUGUCUUCUGCCAUGAGUGGAAGCAGCUUGAGGCCCCCACCAGAUGCAGAUGCCAGUGCUAUGCUUCUUGUACAGUCUGCAAAACCACAAGCCAAAUAAACCUCUUUUUUUUUUUUUUUUAUAAAUUACUAGCUCAGGCAUUCAUUUUUAGCAAUACAAAACAGACUAACAUGCUCUCUUCAACUCUGAGAGCUUUCUUUAUUAGGUAGGUAGAUGGAAGAAGUGCCUUGUACAUUACAAGAUAAUAACCCUUGUUUGUUUGCUUUUUUUUUUCAGGAAGAGUUUAUACUUUUGCCCUAAUUUUGUAGUUCAUCUAUUUUUCAUUGUACACUAG
rnacentral:lncRNA from 1 species